rnacentral:tRNA from 1 species
UGGCUCAGUGGUAGAGUGCUUGCCUUGCAUGCAUGAUGCCCUGGGUUCGAUUCCUCAG